rnacentral:lncRNA from 1 species
UCAGGAUGGCCAGGUCGCCCCUAAAAUCCUCCGACCUGAGGAAGGCCCGCACGCCCUCCUGGGCUCCCUCAGUCCUAGCCGCCUCGACCUGAGCAGACAGCUCGGCGCUCCUCUUCUGCUCCCCAUGCAGCUGAGAGGUCAGGUCGGAAUUCUUCUUUAGCUCCAGUUCAAAAUUAGAGUGAGCCUGGGCGAGCUGCUUCCUCAGACCUUCAGCUUCUGCCACAGCUGCUUCGUUCUGGCUGAGCAGUUUCUCAUUGGCCGCCCUCGUCUCGCUCAUCAGGGGGAGGAGGCCCUCGUAGCGCUUGGCCAGCUCGGAACCAACCAAGUUCACUUGGGCCGCGCCUGUGUAAUAAUAGUCGAGGAGGUCAGACGCCUCCAUGGCCUUGACCAAGCUGUGGUCCCUUGGAAGGAUGGCCCCCUGAGCGAGCUCCCUGGCCACCUCUGGGAAUUGAGCUCGGUCGUUUAUGGAGAGUUUCCACUGAGGACAGAAGUGCAUUGGGUGUUGGUGCGUGAUCAGCCGCGUCUGUGGGUCGAAUAGCAGGGUAGAACUCUGGCGUUGCCACAGGUUAGGAGGAGCGUCAGCUCGGGCUUGCUCCUCGGCAGUAUUCACGCCGUAGUGACCGCCCUGACCAGGUUCAGGCGUGGACCUCUCUUCCUGAACUGGGGAGGAGGUCGUCUCCACUCUUGCCCUCUUGGCAGUUGUCUUCUUCUUCUUCUUCUUCCCAGCCUCGACAGCCUUGGCGGACUGAGCAGGAGUUGGCUGAGGCGUCGGAACUGGUGCCGAGCUGGUUGGAAUGGCUGAGGAGGGCUGGGUAGUAGCACCUGGAGUGCUGGCUCCUCCGAUGGUUAGAAGGGAAGAAAACCUCUUCACUGCAAAAAGCAGAAGACCAGAAGGUCAGUAGAUGCAUAAAACAAAGAGAGGAAAGAAAAGGAGGGCCAGGUCGUUUACAAGAGGUCAGCUCGUCUGGCGAGAGCGGCCUAUUCUCUGGCGAGGGAUCUGAGGGGUUAGCUCGGAUCAGCCCCGCCGCCCAGAGUUGGGCAUUGCUGAACUCUUUCACCUCCAGCUUCUCGUCUGAGCUGAGUAGGCGGCUGAGCUCGGCUACAGGGAGCGGAUCUGGAAGUGGAUCCGAAACCUGAGUCUCCGCCCUCCAGGUCAGAGGGGGAAAGCCCAGGCUCUUCACAAAAAAGAAGUAACGCUUCCAGUCUUUGAUGGAGGAAGGUACCCCCGUGAACAGCUCGCGGGUGGGGGUUUUUGCUCCACUUCUACGGGCGAAGUAGAACCACCCGGGCACCUUCCCGCUGACCUUCAUCUGGAAGAAGGCUUGGAACAGGUCGUGGGAAAAGGGAAUUUCUAGUGCUCGGCAGAGGAUGAAAAAGCCUAUAAUGGAGCGAACACCAUUGGGGAUGACCUGAGUUAUGCGGAUGCCCCAGAAGGUGAGGAUGAAGAAAAAGAAGUUGGGAAUAGGCAGGCGGAGACCAGCCAUCAGCUGGUCCCUAUAGAUCGCCACGAAGCCAGGAGGAGGUCGGCUGGCGACCUCCCCCGGUAGGGCAGCCCUAGGUUCAAACUGGGCUGGGAUUUCAUAUUUUUCGCCCAGCCCGUCAACUUCCUUCUGUCCCAGGGCAGGGGGGAUAGUGUCGACCUCUCCAAAGUCGCCACUAGGUCCUCCCGAGGUCCCCGCGGCCAUCUGAGCUGGAGCUGCCUGUUCCGCAGCCCCGACUAGAGGCUGGGCAGUUUGUUCGGCUGGGCUCAUUAUUUGGACAGGAGAUUGUAUGGGAGAAGGCGCGGUUACUGACCCAGAUGAAGUGGAAGGAGAAGAACUUGAAGGGUCGGGAGAGGGGCUAUCUAGGAGUAUGGGGCUAGCUGCUCUGUGCCUAGGGGCCGAACUGGUAACGUCAGAGCUAUCAGAACUAUAAGAAGACAUAAAAAGGAAAAGGAAACUUACUGAUGGAAGGAGAUCGGAUGAAAAGCUGAUUUAGGGAGGGCCGAACUAACUCUGGGCUCCUAAGGAAGAUCGACCCGACGUGUUCUGAAAGAAAAAAGUUUGAAGCAGCGAGCUAGGAGUGAAAGGAGCGAACUGAUAGAGCGAAGAAGGAGGAGUGAAAAUGACGCCCAAGGGGCCUAUUUAUAGGCGAUUCUCAGGGCGGGAAGACGAGAGGGCGCGCAUUUAUUUGAACUAUUUAUGGGGAACCGUUCCCAACCGCCAUAACUGGUCGACGCGACGGUUGAGGUGACAGACACGAACCGACGCGACGGUUGCUUGCACCACUCCUUGAAGGGGGCCCGCACCGAGCUGACGCGACGCUCUGAAAGUCGGCCUAGAUUCACGCGCCUGUUCGGUGACUCUAGACUAGAGGGGGGGCUAGUGUAGUGGAGCCCAUGAGCACAUCGGCCCGGUCCACAUACACGUCAGCUCGGCCCAAGAGUCCUGGCGUAAUGGGCUGGUCUAGGGGUCAGGUCCUCUCGCAGGACCAGACGAGCGCCGCCUCCCAGGCGGAUGGGCCCGAUGGGCUUCGGAGCCCUCGUCUACCAGAGCUGGGUAGUGGAGCCCUAGAGGCUUAUCCUCUCCAAUAAGGACUCCUUGUCCUACCAGGAAACUACCACCUGGUGUUCUAUAAAUACCACACCCGUAAGAAACACAAGGUACGCUACUCAUAGUGCAGACUCUACUCUUUUUACUUACAAACUAGUUCUGACUUGAUCGUCGGAGUUGCUACAGGGGACUCAGCCCCGCAGCUCGCUCACGUGCAGGUCGGACGCUCAACCAGCUCAGUUCGGAUCUUCACUUCGGCAGUCGCAUCAACGUGCAACUUUUAUUACCCUCCAUACAUAUUUCGCAGCUGUCUUUUUUUUUUUUUCCUCAAUCACGGAUGUAGGUCGAGUAUAAUUAAUCCAGUUUCAGCACUUUUUUUUUUUGUUUUUCCAUCUAUGUACGUACCUCAGUCAUUUAGCAAAAAGUCAUUACAGAUUCAACAAUGGACAUGAUGAAGCAACUAGGAGAGCGGCACAAAGCACGCAUAGCUUGCUCUCAGGAGGGCCAGAUUAUUUCUGUUUGUUCAAAUGAAAAAAAUAGUUGGGAUGGGAGUCUUGCUUCUGCAGGGAACAGAGUGACAUGAUCCAUGUGUUUUAAAAGAGGAUGGCGUUGGGCGGGGCAUUUAGUAGUAUUCGGCGUGUGGCGUCAGCCCCGUGAAUUUUUAUUUUUUUUUAAAAUAUAUAAAUAUGAUAUAUAUUAUAAAAAAAAAAAAAUCAUUUGAAGAUAUAAAUAGAAUUAGAUAAAAUGAAGACAAUUACACAGAUAAAGAAUUAUUAUCGUAUAACUCUAACUAAUAAUUUAAAAAAACAUACGUAUUAAUAUUAGUUGCACAAAAAAGCAAAAUAAUUAACAUUGUAAAAAGUUCAAUCUUAGAAACAAACUAGUCACACCUCACAAGUCACCGCAGUAUCAAGCGCUUAAAUUACAAGCACAUAAAUUCAAGUAGACACAAACUUCAAAGGUUAAUUGUUUCAAUAAACACACUUAACCAGCAUCAAAAAUAAAAUACCAAAUUAGCAACCAUAUUGCUUAUAGUAAUACAUAGCAAGGAGUAGCAUCAAUAAUUAGAAACAAACCGACAAAUAAAAUGAUACUAUUCAUCAAAGUGGAUAUCAUCUUCAUCUAGUGUAUAUACACUAGGUAAUUUUCUGCCAAUAAUUGAUGGUGGUUCCGAAAUUUUCAUCACAUCACAGGAUCCCAUCUACAGGUAACAAUUUCUUUUCCUUUACCUUUCUUGCGCAAUCAUAUGUUAUAUUUCAAAUAAAUUCAUGUCAAAUUCACUCAAUGUCUGAAUAUAACAGAAAGGUAUGUACUCGCGCCCAAACACCUGUGCGCGUACUUAAAUUUAAUGAAUGGAAUCGAUAUUGUGAAAAAAUUUUUGUGAUUGGAAUCAAUUAAUAUUGUGAAAAAAGAGAGAGAGAAGAAAUUAGCAUUAUUGGUGAUAAGUACUAGUUAUUGAUUUCCAUGUGAACUUCUUUCGUUAACUCCUAGUUAGAAAGUAGUUUAACUUACUAUGCCGCUUUGAAAUUAUAUGAUGAAUCAAUUCAUAAAAGCAAAAUAUAAAUGAUUAUUCCAAAAAAUAGAAUGAUGUAGAGUGAGUUGGACGAAGCAAGCAAGCACUUAAAUUUGCUAAAACAUUAGGAUAGGAGCGAAAGUGAAGACGUGACCAAAUUGAGCAGAUAACGGAAAAUAGUUGGCUGUUGGUUUUAGGGGCAAUGUGAGAAUAAAAUAAUCCAACUUAACCCUAAUACUUUUUUCCAACGCUUCUGGCAAAGAAUAUUAGUAUCUGAAACGAGUCAGUAAUGUUACCGCUGCUACUUAUGAUCCCAUCAUCUGUGAGCUUGGGGAUGCUGAACUUCAAGGCUAACAGCGAAGCUGAUUGCUGAUGCUGGCCAGAAGGCUACUGUCUUGAUUCCCAUUUUUCUUUGCAAUCUCUAGCGCCCAUCCCAUGGUCUCAUCAGCAAUAAUGCAUGUGAUAUUAUCACUAUCACAUUGAUUGAUUUAUGUUCGACUCCAGGUUCACAUCACCGGCAUGACCUGGUAAACUGAUAGUAAGUGUCAACUUGUUGCCCAGGUCAUUUCUGUCCUCCCAUGAUUCCAAUCCAUCAUGACCUGGCUUAAGUUUUAUCGACCUCUCCUCUUUGUCGUGAUGUCGCUUAUUUGUCUGAUUACGCUUGAGUUUGUUGUUACAUGAGGUAUUUGAUUUGCAAUACGGUGUUCUUUUGGUUGUAUCUACUGUUGUUUCCAUUCUUGUAGAAUUACUGGCGUCCUAAACCAACUCAGACAUCUGAGUUGGAGUUCUUCUUCUUCACUCCCAGUGAGAGGGAGCAAAUUCUGUUGAACGAUAUUUCAUGGAAGGGUCUUUGCUACCACCCAUGCUUAAGAUUGUCACCAAUUCGUGCAAGUGGUUCCCAAUGUUUACAAGUUGGCCGGCUCAGGCUGGUACAAUAUAUUUCCCAUUAUGUUAAUCCGGUGAGCUCAAAGGGUCUAGUUGUUACUUGUUAGCAUAAAUUUGGAAAUCGAAGCAAUAUAUGCUCGCAUUUGGGUUACAAAAUUUUAGUAAGAAUUCAAUAUGUUCCCUAACAAAAUGACACGGGUUUCUACUUUGAAACCAGUGUGGCAGGAAUGAUCUAAAGUAUCACUGUUAUCAUCUUUGAGCUCCUCAGACCAGCAAGAGAUCCAGCCCAUGCCGGCUGGCCGGGCCAGUCUGUCCAGCGGGGCGUGAGAACUGAAAUUGUUAAGCAUCACAUCCCUUAAUAUUUAAAUAUCCACAGGCAAAAUCGCGAAGUGUAAAGGGGUUGGUUUUGAGAAUUCAGUUGUUAAAUUUCUUCUCUGAUUACUUGACACUGAUCAACUAUCAUGCAAAAUUACAUGAUUGUAAGAAGAGAAGUGCGUGCGAAAAUCUUUUUAUGGUUUUGCUCAAGAGGAAGAUAAGUAAUUUUCCUUCUUUCCUGCUAUUUGUAUUAAAGGUAAUUAAAGUUCCUGAAUGGUGCAGAUUUGCUAUUAAGUUUCUAUCUGGAUCAGUCCCCUAACUACCUUAGGUUGUAAAUUUAAGGUGUCUACUGUCUAUAUUCCUUCUUCAAAGAAUCUAGCAGAAAUUGCGAAAGUCCUGUUUUAAGAUGGAUGGAAAGCAGAAUAAUUGACUUGAAAAUUCUUUCAUAUAGUAACUUGUUUAUCAUGAACCUGUUCUAUUUUCUUGAAGGGCCGGAACCUGUCCAUCUGAAUGUUGAUUGACGAUUGUAGUCUCUCUCUCUAUAAGAAGGAUUACUUUUCACAAAAACUUUGGUUCCUGAGGUAAUGAGAUACAGAAGGACAGAUCACCAUUACUCCCUAAAAAACGUAAAAAGACUGUUGCAACUAGUGUUGGCCACUAAGUAUUGUGACUCUUGCCCUAUUAGGCAAUCCAUCCAAUUAUUCUUGGUAUAAUUAUGAUAAUGAUUUGAGCCAGCAGUUUGCUAUCUUGUCCUAGAUGGACAUAUUUAUCCUAAAAUUUUCCAGUAAAACUGGUUUCACAAGUGGCUGUCAGGCCUCUUGAGAGCAGGAAUCAUUCCUUUCAUCCUUAACCCACUUGACAAAAUUGUUGAAAUUCUUUCCAGAGCGUCCGCUUUCUGCAGCAGUAUUAUUCAUCGCCUUUGCUUUUAAAUCCAGGGCCGCCCUUGCUUUGAAUCCUUGAUCAGUUAGAAGCAGCUCGACCUUAUUCUUUAUUUCUUCUCGUCCAACAAUUCCAUUUUCAUCUCGGUUGAGUCGUCCUCCAAGCUUCCAUGCAUCACAGAUGUAGCUCUGGUUAAGGAAUUGGUCUGCAAAGUAAGGCCAGCAAAGGAAUGGAAGACCAUUGCUAACGCCCUCAAUGGCAGAAUUCCAACCACAGUGGCUUAGGAAGCAAGCCACAGAAGGAUGACUCGAGACCUUUUGUCGAGGUGCCCAACCAACUAGCGGCCCUCUUCCCUGUAUUCUGUCUGUGCAAUGCCUGUCACAUUGUUUAUAUCUUGCCUUACAACCCAGAGGAACGGCAUAUUGGUGAGUUCAAGACCUAGUGCAUGUUUCUGUCGUAGUAAUCAAAUGACAUUUUGUUACUUGGACACUCAUAAUGCAAAACACAGGUGUUAUUGGUUCAUAUGUUUGGCGACAUUUGUCGUAACAAGAUUCUAAAUUUUAACUGCUUCGAGAAAAUACGUCUUCCAGUACUUUUUGCGAUUCGAUACACAGAGGAUUGUUGAAAUCAUCAAUCUUUGAGGGCAUUAUUCCGAAAACUAUAUUGUGACUUGGAUAUGUCAAGAGCUCUUCUGUGUUUUCAUCCAAUCAACAAAAUUGGUGAAAUUCUCGUGGGAGCUUCCUCCUUCUCCAAUGUUAUUCAUCAGUCUUUCCUUGAGAUGCAAAGCUCUCUCCUUGAACGUCAUUGUACCUAGCAGUUCAUCCACCUUGUUCUUUAUUUCGCCAUGUGCGAUUGCCCCACUUGCGUCUCGUUUGAAUCCUAGCCCAACCUUCCAAAUAUCACAUAUAUAGCUCUGGUUAAAGAACUGGUCAGCAAAGUAAGGCCAGCAUAACAUGGGAACUCCAUUGCUUACGCUUUCCACUGUGGAGUUCCAACCACAAUGACUCAAAAAGCAAGCAAUAGCAGGAUGACUCAGAACCUUUUGCUGCGGUGCCCAGCUCACUAUUUGACCUUGAGUUGCUGUUUUGGGUUGAAAUCCUUCUACAUAAGUUGCAUUGGUCCCAUCUUUCGUAUCUUGUCUCAGAACCCACAGGAAUGGCCUGUUAGUGAGUUCAAGGCCUAGAGCUAAUUCCUCGAACUGAGGUUUGCUAAAUGUUGCAAAGCUGCCAAAUGCGACAUAGAUCACUGAGCCAGGUGGUUGCUUAUCGAGCCAUUCCAGACAGGUUGAGUCCUCCAUCCAGAAGUUCCCUGCUGAAUUCCCCAGGCGGUUGCUUGCUAGGAGCGGGCCAAUGGGCUUAAUCUCUGGAGCCAAGUCGAAUGCUCCAGGCUCAAGGUCAUAAGUUGAGUUACAAACCAGCCAGUCCGCCAACUUCACAAGUCUGUUGUUUUGCACCAUGGCUCCAAAAAUGAUUUUCUGCAAAGCCAAGUUCGCUACGCGUGCCCAAACAAAGUCUGAUGUAUUCAUCAAAGGCAUGGUUGGUGCAAGCUGCAGCGUCUGCUUCUUUAUCGGAGUUCCUGAUACAAAAUAUAUCACCUUCAGGCUUUACUUAAUUGAACUAUUUAGUCUUCUGUCCAACUGAAUUCUUGUCUAAAAACUGAAGCUCGCUCCAAGUUGAGAACUAGAGAUGCAUGUGCAUGCAUCUAUAAAAUACAUGGAGCUAUAUUUUUAGCAUUUCUACAACACUGUGAUGGGCUAUUAAUUGUGAAUAAAUGAGGGUAGGAGCUAAGAAUUGUAAGCAUAUAUAUAUAUAUAUAUAUGAAAUUCUCACCAUCGUGGUCUAUUAUCCCAUCAUCAAUGAGGCAAGGAAUUCUAAAUCCCAAGACCAAGGAAGCAGCUGCUGCUGUCAAGAAGGCCGCUCGCCUGAUUCCCAUCUUCCCCGCAACUUCCAGGGCCCACCCAAGACCCUGAUCUGCAAUGACACAAGUAAUUGGCUCCUCCUCUGAUGCAUUGAUCUCUCUUAUCAACUCCUCAAGUUUCCCGGGCAUGACUCUGUAGAUGGCCUCGGCUAACUUCCCAGGGAUCUUCCUUUCCUCCGCUGAUUCCAGCCCAUCGGGGAUCGCAACCAAACGAAUACGAUCAUCCAAUAAACCUUUAUCUGCCAAUGCAUCGAGAACCCGCUCGUGAGUGACUUCAGUAUUGACGAAUGUGAUCAUGAAGCCAUGCUCGACUAAGCAUUGUGCAAGCUCCAUCAAGGGAAUUACGUGCCCUUGCACAGGAAAAGGAAUCACCAGGACGUGCGGGUUGGCCAUCCUGGGUGUCCGCCGAGCUGUGUGUUUUCAGCUUUCUGAUCGGUGGUUAGUAUUUUGACCUGGUAUCGAGUUUUCCAUCUUCGUGUCUAGCUGAUUUAUUGAGUCUUUCUCUCCUCCUGUCAUUUUUGACUCGUCACGUCACUGAAACUCAUAAUAAAGAUUCGAAUCACUACCAGAACAACAACCUUUUUUUUUUUAUUAUUAUUAUUACGUUGUACGCCUUUGGGUUUUUCUCCAUCAAUUAUUUGUCUUGUUUUUUUGGCUCGCUCGCGUUUGGUGUUUUGGCUUCUGGUGCUGCGUUGUUAGCUGGACUUUUUGGCUCGCUUUGUUUUUUGGUUUGUUUAUCUUGACGGCACUUGCUUUUAUUUUAGUAUUUUAUUUGGUCCCAGUGAUUUUUAAUUAUUGGCAGGCAUACUAGCUAGAGCAUUACAUUGGUCCGUACGCUCGCUACGGGCAUGCUCAACAACUCAAGAACGCUGGGCUUCUGACGCCAAAAAAAAAAAAGAAAGAAAGAGAAUGUUGGGCCUCGAGCUCUGGAAUUUUAUUCCCGAACUUGUUCGUCAUAUGAUGAUUUUAAGGUGCUAUCUACUUCAGCUUCGGGAACAAACCAGGAUUGCAAUUCUGCUGCUGAGAAACCCAAAAGCUCUUAAUAAGCCCAGUCCGCUGACAUCGGAGGCCCGAUACGUAGCUCUUUUACGUUGGUACAAAAAGGAAGAGCUAGCCCAAGAAGUAGAAAGGGAGUAUACAGUGAAGUCGGUUAGCCCACGAGACGGCGGCUUACUUCCUCUUUUCAGGCCACGAACACUCAUAUGGUGCUCCCGGUUUCUGUGGAGGCUGCAAAUACUGCAAAGUACAACAAAUCAGCAUUUUAUAAAAAGCUCCUCCUAAUCUCUGAAUCCGAACAGCAAGCAAUUUGCAUACAUUAUUGCUGUGGUGUGCGUAUCACGGGCAUUUGUGCAAGUACACUUAAUACUAGAAGGGCAUGAUGACCCGAAGCCCAAAAGGGAUACAGAGUUACAGUCGGCGAGAGGGAACCGACAAGGAACAUUAUUUGGAGCCGCAUCGUCGAAUUCAUCAUAUUAUCACAAUCUCAACAAUACUCGCACUCUCGGAGUUUGCUCGCAACCGCAUCAGUCACUCUAUAUUGAUAAAAAAAAAAAAAAAGAAAAAAGAAAAGUUGAGGCACAUCUAGACUAGGACCCGGUAAAUCCAAAAUCAACCACCACUAAAAUUAUGAAUAUUCUGAUAAAAUAAAAAAUCCACCAAAUUAUUAUUAAUUAAAAAACAGAAAAUUGGGGGAAGCCCACGAUACAAAAUUCAACAAUACAACCUCAGGUUUGGAAGGAUGGGGUCCCGCCCUUGCAAGCAAAGCCUGAUGAGAGAGAAAGGGCAUCUCACGUGCUGAUGAUGGAAUAACUGCAAAAGUGCCAAAGAAUGUUGGAAUGUUUCAAUACACAGACCCAACACACACGCACGCAAAAUCAAGACAGCAGCCCCUGUUGCUGGGCUGUCAGCAAAUCUCGGCUUCGGACCCUUUUUCUGGUUCGUUCGCCCAAUCAUCCGAUGUCAACCCCUCGCGCGUUGGACACACAUACAUACAUACGCAUUUCUUUUGCAUCCAUGGAUGUUAGUACGACGACAUCCUGCCGUAAAAACUAACUUUUUACGGGUACGAAGCGUACAGCUAGUGUGUGUGUCACUGCGUGUAACUGUUGUGCUCGGUUGCUUUAUACCGAAUGGGAUCACGACAUGAUACGCGAUAUCAAUGCGAAUUCUUGUCUUUUUAUGUCACAUCGCUUUCCCGCAAUCAUAUGGUUUAUGAUUUUCAGUCAGAUGCUGAAUCUUGUCUUUAGUGGAUAGACACAAUGGCCGUCCGUCCGUUGGUUGGUUGGUUGGUUAACGUUAAGGGUACAAUCUGGAUUUGAUGACGUGUCACUGCAGCAUUCAGCCAAAAAGAUCCUGAAAAGGAUAAACGAAAGGUAAUCUUGGUCCGAGGUUCUUCUCUCACCGAAUCGAAAUUGAAAAAUUCUGACCCUCCAUUGUCCAUAGGGAGGGCCACAGAAUCACUUUCUGAAACCUUCAGCAAAGAUUAAAAACAAUUAAAUGAAGGGUCUUUUUCACAAGCUCCCUAUUUUUCUUUACGCAAGCGACAGAGAGGUUACCCCAAGAAAAUUGCUUACGAGUUUUAGCCCAGGGUUUGACAAAAGAAAAAAAAAAAAAAAAAAUUUUAGCCUAGGGCACUCAGCCUUGCCCAAAAUUUUUGAUGCAUUGCUAUGAAUCCAAAAUCCUACUUAGGUUUUUAAUAUGGUCGAGAAAUAUAGGUGCCCAUCAAAGAUUAUUAAAAAAAAAAAAAAAGGUGUAAUAUUGCUUUUUCACCUGAUUUCUUGGUCUUCAAGAGGCCCGCACCUGCAUGCAAUCCUGAAAGGAAAGAAUGAGCACAACAAAGAGGCAGAGAAUGGGAGGCCAAGCAGAUCCAAAUCUACCAUUCUAUUACAUUUUAAUUCAGUUAUGCUGCAUCCUGAUGAUAUAUAUAUAUAUAUUUAACUGCACGUUGCCUCACCUAGUUGCUAUCGAGGGGAUGAUUCACUUGCUAUGUAUCGGGAAAUUCCCUCAAAAUUUCACAGCAGCAAACCCCUCUUGGUAGUAAAAAGAUCAGCCGGCAUCCUAGCUAGCAGGAAGAUUGUCCCUGAUUUUCUAUUCCAGCUCCCAGGCCACUAAUGCGUUCCAAGCAUAGGUAUUUUCUAUUCUUCCAACAUAGCCCAAGUAUUAUGGAGUUGCAGACUGCAAAUAAAGGGAUAAGUACUACAAAGACUUAUUAGUUUACAAGGAGAUGCAAUUAACCCCUUCUGGCACCACUUUAGGCAUUGGAUGUGCUACGACAUAUCUCUGAGGGGACGUUUUGUGUACACCAGGAUUUGCACCAGAGGAUGAUGUAUUAACUGAAACAAUAUGUCCCCUACUGUGGAACCUAGCAAAUCGGUUUAUGACAGAGAACCUCUCCAAUUCCUGGGAAUCCACUUUUAUGUCCACAAAUGACACAGUCUUGUCCAGUCUG